GUUGAUAGGCAAGAAAUUUUGCACGGCAAGAUUAAUGUUGGGGUUCGAUCCAAUGGGUCACGAUACAUAUGCAUAUCACAUAAAGGUGUUUGGUGGAACACGUGAACAAGUGGUGAAUGUUUCCAAGUGACGUCACAUUGCGACAUCUUUACCUGUCUACCUAGAGCUAGUUCAUUCUGGUGAGCAACUAGCAAUAAUACACUUUUACCAACAUAUUUGUCAUGACGAGAGAGGUUCCAGAUUUCUUCGUCCUAACAAGGAUUUAUUGUCAUCGACACUUAAUUUGGUACAUUUCAUAUGAAUUUACCUUAUAAAUGUAUUGGUGAAAACAAUGCUCAGUGGAUCAUAUUAUUCAAGACAGCAUUCUCACAGAAGCAUGCUAAUAUCACACAGAGAAUAUCAACAACUAACUUUUUAAAAUAUAUCUAUAUAUAAGGGCAUUGCCAGCUAGACUUGGCAUCCUUUGGAGUCUGUUUUGGUACAGUGUAUAAAACCCGCGGUACUGGCCUCAGACUGCAUAUCUCUCUUAGACUGCUGAUCCACCUGCAGUCCUGCACUCAGUUCAUCAUGAAAGUGUUGUUCCUCCUCGUUGCUGUGCUGGCAGCCCUGAUGGCUCUGACUCAAGUUGUCUCCGGGAUGCCCUCUGCUAAGCCUGACCCUGAGCCUAAGGCUGGGCCUAAUCCUGAGCCUAAGCCUGAUCGUUACUACUUUCAACCCUCCCUAUUCAACAAAAGACGGCAUCGUCGUCCUUAGUUCUGAGCGGUCGGUCGCCAUCUUCGUCCUGGACACCCAUGUCGGAUUGUGUUGAUAAUCGCAUCACCGGGUCACAGAAGCUGCUCCCAAUGGCGUCCACCUGUCCCUUUUUUGUUGGGAUGUGGACGUAGUUAUUUAGUUUUAUCUACUCUCAUAUUUAUGUCACUUGUCUUUAGCGUUCUUCCCUAGUCAUGUAUGUGUUAGAAUUAUACAAACAAGAAUUCAAUAAAUGAAUUCAUUAUAUUACAA